rnacentral:rRNA from 1 species
CCUACGGGUGGCAGCAGUGAGGAAUAUUGGUCAAUGGCCGGAAGGCUGAACCAGCCAUGCCGCGUGAAGGUCAGUGCCCUAUGGGCGUUAAACUUCUUUUGUGCGGGAGCAAUAAUGGUCCAGUGUGGCCAGACGAGAGUACCGUACGAAUAAGCAUCGGCUCACUCCGUUCCCGCAGCCGCGGUAAUACUGGGGAUGCAAGCGUUAUCCGGAGUUAUUGGGUUUAAAGGGUGCGUAGGCCGUGAGGUAAGGCAGCGGUGAAAUGCCCCCGCUCAACGGGGUGAAGUGCCAUUGAUACUGGCUUGCUGGAAUGCGGAUGCCGUGGGAGGAAUGUGUGGUGUAGCGGUGAAAUGCAUAGAUAUCACACAGAACACCGAUUGCGAAGGCAGCUCACGAAUCCGCGAUUGACGCUGAUGCACGAAAGCGUGGGUAUCAAACAGGAUUAGAUACCCCUGUAGUC